rnacentral:lncRNA from 1 species
ACAUGAAAAUCAAUGCUUCUACAUGACAUUUCUAAUAGCUCAGAAGGGAUCACUAAAAUGGCCAGAACAUGGUGACUGAGCUGGGAGGAAGAGGAAGAGAAAGAGGAAGAGACACCAAACAAGAAAGAAACAGCACGGAGAUUGAAUAUCUGCAAACAAUGUCACUCACUGCAUCAGAAAAAAGAAAUUCUAAAGGUAAGGGACCCAUAAAUUCAACCUUAAUAGAUUCUUUUUGUCUCAGAACCAUCUUAAUGGAAGUUAGUGAAUGCUGGAUUGGACCUAAUUGUCAAAGUUGCUUAGAAAACAAUCAGUUCUGAGAUAGCGGAAGAACAGUCUGACAAUAUUAACCUGAGCACUGA